CAGGGACAUUCACUGUAGCUGUAAAAGCCCAACAGUUUACAAUUGAGCCUGAGUCAGUGGUACGAGCUGAGGGAUUAUUGGCAGAGUUUGAGUUUGAGUGCCUGUCUCCUGGAGCACUAGCUCACCCUUGGUUUGUGGAUGGCAUUGAGUCUACAAGCCCUAACAGUUCAUCUGAAAUCAGAGUAGCUGGAGGUAUUUCAGGUCGUCCCUCAGUGCUGACCAUCCCAGCCAGUUUACAGUUCAACAACAGUGUCAUUAAAUUCAGUGUCUCACAGCUUCAGUGAGUAGUGUAGUGUUCUCAAGGAAUGCAACAUUGAUAGCUGAGUGUGUAUCUAUUGAAGUGGUGAAUAGUGAAACCCACCUUGUUGUCCCUGUGACGAAUAACUUCACUCUGAAUAAUGUUGCCUAUCGUGUGGACAUCUCGCUUACUGCUCUGGGCACCAAUGAGAUGGUUGCACUUCCGCCUCUAUAUGCAUGGGCAAACAAAUCAAGCACAGUUUAAUUUUGGAUACCCUAACCACACUGUCUGUGAUAUAUUCACCUUCACUGUGACUCCAAUUAGUGAGUCAAGAAUGGAAGGAAGAUGCAGUGAACCUGCAGUCCCUGGGUUUUUCACACGAGUAACAGGUACAUUUUAAUAUGUGAAUGACGUAACGGAUUGGAGUUAUGCGCUCGCCGAAUUUCUUGUUUCUUCGCUUUUUCGCGCUUUUCUUUUCCUGGCAAUCUUAGCAACGUUCACAUUGCAAAUGUUUUUAUAUUAGACUUACUAUUAUUAUUAUUAGAGCUGGCACCCAAUUGAGAAUCAAUAGAUGCAGCAAUUGCAAAGUGUACCUUGCAGACACUUUACUCACGACAUUGUAAUGGUAUACAGUGCAUCUGUGGUCUAGAGAGUAGAAUACGUGAGUAGAUCUAGUUGUACUUAAUUAAAUGUAUCUCAAGAUUAAUUGGAACAUUUCUAAGAAAUUGUGGUUAUACCAUUGUAUAGGUAAAAGAAUAAGCUACAACAUUAUUCAAAAAUAUUUCCCCAAAAGUUGUUGUAGUGGAAAAUAAUUUUAGGUGAUAUGGGAGUGAUCGUAAAAAAAUUUAUGUAACAUCAAUUAUCUCUGGAACUAAAAUAAUUAUUUCUGGACAAAUUUUUCACAUCAGAAGUUAAAUAAUUAUUUAUUCAAGCUUACUCUGUGUAAUCUUUGGACCUAGCCGUAAUCUUCUUCAAAUCUCUCCCUAACCGAAACGGCACUAAAAACUAUGAAUUUUGAGCACUGUAUGUGUAGAUAUUAAUAAGCAACAUCGAACCUUUCAUAAGAUUAGCCAAACAAUGUCUAGAUGUUGUGAAAAGUCCCAACACCUUAGCCGGAAACUGCUGGCCUUUUCUAUCCCUAAUCGAUUACCCAUUGUUUACUGUUUUAUUAAUCACCACAAACCCACCACCUUAUGUUGUCAUGGAAACACUUUUGGAUAUACCGGGUAGUAGCUUAUUCGAUCUACACAAUGGUAUCAGCAGAUUUUCUCAGAAAUGUUCCAAUCAAAACAUACAUUUAAGUACAACUACUCACACAUUUUUGGUAUUCUACUCUCUAUCGAUGCACUGUAACUGCCGACACAUGCACUUAAUUUGAACAUAGAUAAGGAAGAGAGGGAUUGGAAACGGAAGUGUUCAGUCUCAGUAUACGUGAAUGCAGUCUACCCUCAAUAAGCAUCCGUGUCUCGCCUAAAUAUUGUGUCCGCGAAAUGCCGGGAAAAUACCUCCCUCUUACGUAUGUUUCUGAGUUUCCUCAGUAUACUAUGCAUCUCCUUGAAGCUUUCUUAGUAUUAUUUAGAACACACCUAGCCAAGAUUAAGUGUUUUAAUCUGAGUGCCGAGGAUGGCCUCGAGGUUAACGUGGUGCUCGAGGCGCAGCCGAGUGCAUUACGUAACCGAGAGGCCAUCCGAGUGCACCAGAUUAAAACACGUGACUUGGCUAGGUGUGUUCUAAAGGAUUUAGUGCUGUCACGUGAGCUCUAGCCUCGUGGCAGCUAGAUCUAGCUACAUUUUAAAUCAGUUGCUGGUGGCUAGCUAGCUAGCUAGGCGUAAUAGCAAGUUUUAGUAGGUUUGUAGAUCGAGUAACUGAUGCAAAGGAGAAGGAGAUACUAUCUAAAGCUAUCUGGACUGACUGGGCAUGUUCUCGACUUAUUUCUCCUGCUGACCAACAGUGCAGUCCCGAUCCCACUACUGGAUAUGCCUCCAGCUGAUCUGGCUUACUGGAUGGGAAACUUUGUGCGCAAACUAUAUGGCAAUGAGUAUCUGGUUUGCUCUUUUGGAACGCUAUGAUAUUCGAAGCACCUUUGAUGAAACGAUUAUAUGGAUCUGGCUUAGGUACAGGUACGUACAUCUUCGAAGCAAGCUGAGUCUAUUUCUCCAGACGAAAAAGCGAUGCUAUGGUCAAGUCAGCAAUUCGGUACACUUACUACACAUGAAACAAGUCGAAACGAUAACAUUCAACUUUCUAAUACUUUUCAGCUUUGCUGUGUACGUAUUCAAUCUGCUUGUAUUAUUAUUAUAAUUAUGAUGACAUUCAGAUUCACUUGUAUUAUGGUUGUUUGAUAAAAAGUGUGCAUUAACAAA